GACGUAGGGCGCGAGCGUUGUCCGGAUUUAUUGGGCGUAAAGAGCUCGUAGGCGGCUUGUCGCGUCGACUGUGAAAACUCGGGGCUCAACUCCGAGCUUGCAGUCGAUACGGGCAGGCUAGAGUUCGGUAGGGGAGACUGGAAUUCCUGGUGUAGCGGUGAAAUGCGCAGAUAUCAGGAGGAACACCGGUGGCGAAGGCGGCAUCCUGGACCGACAUUGACGCUGAGGAGCGAAAGCUAGGGGAGCAAACGGG
rnacentral:rRNA from 1 species